AAUAUCCGAUCUACCCCUACUUUUUUUUUUCUUUCUAAAAUGCCCCUCGUAUGUUCCACCGUUAUUCCAAAAUACCCCCGCAGUUAUCCCCUAUUAGUUUAACUCGAGUUAAACAUGGGUUAAAUGUAUACCAGAGUUAAAACCUAAUUAAAAUACCUAUUUUGCCCCUACCUUAUUAAACUAUUUCCUUAAAUUAUCCUCUCUUUCUCUCCCAACUUAUCCUCUCUCUCUCUCUCUCAACUUGGGUCCCCAUCGCCCGCCGCCGCGAGCGCCAGCAGCUCACCACCACCGCCAACCUCGGCACCGGCUCCUCCGCCUCCACCUUCGUCCCCAAGAAGCCUCGCCUCA
rnacentral:lncRNA from 1 species